GCUAGCUCAUAUGGGAUUAUGCCAAAAUACAACUUGCUUGCUAUGAGACAGCUAUCCCGAAACCAUGGAGCAUCUCUUUUCUGAGUGUAAUUAUUCAAGCAAAUGCCUGCAUAAAAAGCUAUAUGCCUAUAGAAUCUUAAGUUGUUGAGAUAAAGAGAAUCUAGCAUUCUCAUUGGCAUGAUUAGGUUAUAUGAAAAAACAUGCUAAUCCAAAGUGAUAAACUUACUGUUUGGAAUUUCUAUUUCUGAUCCAAUCUUGAAUUGGUCCUGUAAGUCGAUUGCUUGUAAGGUACCUUGCAAAGAAAUUUUUUUAAUUCAACUAAUAUCAAUAUGAACAAAAAACUUCAAAAGAAAUGAAUCAAGCUAUNNN
rnacentral:lncRNA from 1 species